rnacentral:rRNA from 1 species
UACGUAGGGUGCAAGCGUUGUCCGGAAUUAUUGGGCGUAAAGAGCUCGUAGGUGGCCUGUCGCGUCGGCUGUGAAAACUCGGGGCUCAACUCCGAGCUUGCAGUCGAUACGGGCAGGCUAGAGUUCGGCAGGGGAGACUGGAAUUCCUGGUGUAGCGGUGAAAUGCGUAGAUAUCUGGAGGAACACCGGUGGCGAAGGCGGCAUCCUGGACCAUUACUGACGCUGAGUGAGCGAAAGCCAGGGGAGCAAACGGG